GCGGAUAGAAACUUAAAAUUAGUAGACUCAUAUACCUAUAAAUGUUUAAUAUUAAAAAAGUAAAAAUAUAUACAUAAUGAAUAAAAAAGAUUGAAGCGAGAGUUGAAGCGUUAUUUAAAGAUUCUCGAGGCAGUCUUACAAAAUUUUCUAUGAUAAUAAGAAAAAUAAGUAUACUUGUUACCUAAAAAAGUCUUUUAAAAACUUCAAAAAGAGAGACGUUUCGCGCUCGUUUAAUCUUUGUGCUCUCCCACUAGAUGGCUGCUAGCAUAAAAAGCUGCUUUCCGAAACUCGCAAGUGCAGAAAUUUGAUAGAGGAUCGAAUAGCGUCUAUAGAUGAAAUGAACAUCCGCAGAAUUUAGCUGUAUAAAUAAAGAAGACAAGUGAAAUUGAUGCUGCUGUAUAAACCAUCGAAAAAGUUAAAACUUUUUAACUAGUGCUUGCAGAACAGCUAUAAACUUUAACCUUCGAAGUUUAUCAGAAUAAAUAAAUGCUCUAAAAUGUCGCGGGGUGCAAUUCAAUCAAAUUUACUAAACAUAUUUACGUUGCUGCGAUUUCACGGUAUACGUUCAGUCAAUAAUCAGCAAUUCUUUAUAACUCACUGCUUCUUUUAUAUACAAUUUUACAUAUAUUUCAAAGCGAGCAAUAAAAUAAUAAAUUCGACAUACCCUAAAAA